GCCAGACUCCUACGGGAGGCAGCAGUGGGGGAUAUUGCACAAUGGGGGGAACCCUGAUGCAGCGACGCCGCGUGGGUGAAGAAGUAUUUCGGUAUGUAAAGCCCUAUCGGCAGGGAAGAAAUUGGACGGUACCUGACUAAGAAGCCCCGGCUAACUACGUGCCAGCAGCCGCGGUAAUACGUAGGGGGCAAGCGUUAUCCGGAUUCACUGGGUGUAAAGGGAGCGUAGACGGCAGUGCAAGUCUGGAGUGAAAGGCGGGGGCUCAACCCCGGGACUGCAUUUGGAACUGUGUGGCUGGAGUGUCGGAGAGGCAGGCGGAAUUCCUAGUGUAGCGGUGAAAUGCGUAGAUAUUAGGAGGAACACCGGCGGCGAAGGCGGCUUACUGGACGGCAACUGACGUUGAGGCCCGAAAGCGUGGGGAGCGAACAGGAUUAGAUACCCUGGUAAA
rnacentral:rRNA from 1 species